ensembl:misc_RNA 7SK 7SK RNA
GGAUGUGAGGGUGAUCUGGCUGGGACGUCUGUCAUCCCGUUGAACGCCAGGGUUGAUUAGGCUUAUCUGGCUGGCUAGGUGGCUGUCCCCUUCCUCCCUCGCUGCUCCAUGUGCCUCCCUCCCAAAGCUGCACACAAUAUUGAAGAGGACAACCUUCCACAAUAGAGGAGGACCAUUCUUUGGUCAAGGGUACGUGAGUAGCUGCACUCCCCUGCUAUAACUUCUAAACAAGCUCUCAAGUCUUCUAUAUUCUUACUGAAGUCUAUCUCUGUACUUACUGGUUAUUGAAAAUGGGUAUUGAAAUCUCUGACUAUAACUGUGGAUAUGUCUAUCUUU